rnacentral:ncRNA from 2 species
UUAUGGUCCGGCGUCCCCGGUGGCCGGUCGAGGCCGGCCGCAGGGAAUCCGGUGAGAAUCCGGAACUGUCGCGCAGCGGUGAACGGGAACGAAAGCCGCACGAUCACACUGGAGGCAGGCCUCCGGGAAGUGGCGGCGAGUAGGAGCAGAUGAAAGCCCGUGAGUCCGAAUAUCUGCCGGGGACACCGUCGGGAC